GACGAACGCUGGCGGCGUGCUUAACACAUGCAAGUCGAACGGAAAGGCCCUGCUUUUGUGGGGUGCUCGAGUGGCGAACGGGUGAGUAACACGUGAGUAACCUGCCCUUAACUUUGGGAUAACUUCAGGAAACUGGGGCUAAUACCGGAUAGGAGCUCCUGCUGCAUGGUGGGGGUGGGAAAGUUUCGGCGGUUGGGGAUGGACUCGCGGCUUAUCAGCUUGUUGGUGGGGUAGUGGCUUACCAAGGCUUUGACGGGUAGCCGGCCUGAGAGGGUGACCGGCCACAUUGGGACUGAGAUACGGCCCAGACUCCUACGGGAGGCAGCAGUGGGGAAUAUUGCGCGAUGGGCGGAAGCCUGAUGCAGCAACGCCGCGUGCGGGAUGACGGCCUUCGGGUUGUAAACCGCUUUCGCCUGUGACGAAGCGUGAGUGACGGUAAUGGGUAAAGAAGCACCGGCUAACUACGUG
rnacentral:rRNA from 1 species